GCCCCGGUAAACGGCGGCCGUAACUAUAACGGUCCUAAGGUAGCGAAAUUCCUUGUCGGGUAAGUUCCGACCUGCACGAAUGGCGUAAUGAUGGCCAGGCUGUCUCCACCCGAGACUCAGUGAAAUUGAACUCGCUGUGAAGAUGCAGUGUACCCGCGGCAAGACGGAAAGACCCCGUGAACCUUUACUAUAGCUUGACACUGAACAUUGAGCCUUGAUGUGUAGGAUAGGUGGGAGGCUUUGAAGUGUGGACGCCAGUCUGCAUGGAGCCGACCUUGAAAUACCACCCUUUAAUGUUUGAUGUUCUAACGUUGGCCCGUAAUCCGGGUUGCGGACAGUGUCUGGUGGGUAGUUUGACUGGGGCGGUCUCCUCCUAAAGAGUAACGGAGGAGCACGAAGGUUGGCUAAUCCUGGUCGGACAUCAGGAGGUUAGUGCAAUGGCAUAAGCCAGCUUGACUGCGAGCGUGACGGCGCGAGCAGGUGCGAAAGCAGGUCAUAGUGAUCCGGUGGUUCUGAAUGGAAGGGCCAUCGCUCAACGGAUAAAAGGUACUCCGGGGAUAACAGGCUGAUACCGCCCAAGAGUUCAUAUCGACGGCGGUGUUUGGCACCUCGAUGUCGGCUCAUCACAUCCUGGGGCUGAAGUAGGUCCCAAGGGUAUGGCUGUUCGCCAUUUAAAGUGGUACGCGAGCUGGGUUUAGAACGUCGUGAGACAGUUCGGUCCCUAUCUGCCGUGGGCGCUGG
rnacentral:rRNA from 1 species